AUGUUGAUGACUGAGAGAGAAGGGAUAAACCAGAGUGUUUUACAGCAACCCAGCAGAACCAAAGGAUCUGCCAAUACUGGCGAAGUCCUUUCUCUGAACCAGACAACAGAAGCUGCUGUCCCAGUUCGUGGUUGCUCCUUCCCACUGGCAAACAGCUGGGGGGGAUCUGCUCUCAGGUUGUGCCUGCUGCAGGUUGGACGUGAAGAAGUGCACAUCCCUCUUUUUUUGCCUUCUUGCUGCAGACUCAUUCAACAAGGCCAUUCAGGACUGAAUUCAUUUCCAGGUCCAUCCUUUUUUGAAGAAACCAUCCCCAUGGAUGUCAGAAAUAUGAAUGAAUUCAGAUCUCCGUUUGGCAGCUGGAUGAGAAGGGAAUGCCACCGCAAAGGAGGGAUCGCUGAGGCGAGGCUGAAGUUGUAUUCAAAGGCAGCAGCAGUGCUGUGCAUUGCACAUGUCGUAGAAUCACCGCUGUGAUCAGUCAGCCCCUUCCCUGGAGGGACUCUGAGUUCUGACUGCAUUUGGGGAAGUCAAGACCUGAGCAGAUCCUUUUUUAUUUCUAUUCAUUCUCAGG
rnacentral:lncRNA from 1 species